CUGAGUGAGGUCUAUUUUUUGCCAAAUUAGAAUAUAUCAUUCAAAUUUCUUGGCAUUGAAAAGCACUUAUUUGGAUUCCAGGACUUGGCUUUUUUCAAAUCUCAAGAAAAGUGCUGGUGAGAGAAAGAAGUAAACUCUCCAGAAUUUCGAAAUCAUAUGUCCUUCUUUUAUGAUGCUGAUGGUUUAGAUAUUUUGGGGAAUGUUCAUGCAAGCAUGAAAGAAAAGUUGUACAGUGUAUAGAUGGCAUUGUUAAAUGGUUUGAUUUGUCACACCUGACUACAGAAACAAGCCUCAGCUACAUUUGAUACAUCAGAUACAGCAUUUCAUGGUUAUGAGGAGCCCUUUUCUUCAAUGCAAAAGAAAUGAGCUUAUUGAUGACAUCCGGCCGAAAACAGAAUGUAGACAAAAAAACUGUAAUAAAUGUAAAUAAAUGC